rnacentral:rRNA from 1 species
AUUGAACGCUGGCGGCAUGCCUUACACAUGCAAGUCGAACGGCAGCACGGGUGCUUGCCCCUGGUGGCGAGUGGCGAACGGGUGAGUAAUACAUCGGCACAUGUCCUGUAGUGGGGGAUAGCCCGGCGAAAGCCGGAUUAAUACCGCAUACGAUCUACGGCUGACAGCGGGGGACCUUCGGGCCUCGCGCUAUCGGGUUGGCCGAUGGCUGAUUAGCUAGUUGGUGGGGUAAAGGCCUACCAAGGCGACGAUCAGUAGAUGGUCUGAGAGGACGACCAGCCACACUGGGACUGAGACACGGCCCAGACUCCUACGGGAGGCAGCAGUGGGGAAUUUUGGACAAUGGGCGAAAGCCUGAUCCAGCAAUGCCGCGUGUGUGAAGAAGGCCUUCGGGUUGUAAAGCACUUUUGUCCGGAAAGAAAUCCUUGGCUCUAAUACAGUCGGGGGAUGACGGUACCGGAAGAAUAAGCACCGGCUAACUACGUG